rnacentral:rRNA from 1 species
CAUGCACCGAAGCUGCGGCAGCGAACGUAUCACCCAAGACAACUUUACGGAGUUGACGAUUGACGGAGCGAAGCGACGUCAAAGCGUUCAUUAAAGUCGAGUUGGCUUAGGGAUACGUUCGUUGGGUAGGGGAGCGUUCUGUAAGCCUGUGAAGGUGUGUCGUGAGGCAUGCUGGAGGUAUCAGAAGUGCGAAUGCUGACAUAAGUAACGAUAAAGCGGGUGAAAAGCCCGCUCGCCGGAAGACCAAGGGUUCCUGUCCAACGUUAAUCGGGGCAGGGUGAGUCGACCCCUAAGGCGAGGCCGAAAGGCGUAGUCGAUGGGAAACGGGUUAAUAUUCCCGUACUUGGUGUUACUGCGAAGGGGGGACGGAGAAGGCUAUGUUGGCCGGGCGACGGUUGUCCCGGUUUAAGCGUGUAGGUGUGUGUUCCAGGUAAAUCCGGUUCACUUUAACACUGAGGCGUGACGACGAGGCACUACGGUGCUGAAGCAACAAAUGCCCUGCUUCCAGGAAAAGCCUCUAAGCAUCAGGUAACACGAAAUCGUACCCCAAACCGACACAGGUGGUCAGGUAGAGAAUACCAAGGCGCUUGAGAGAACUCGGGUGAAGGAACUAGGCAAAAUGGUGCCGUAACUUCGGGAGAAGGCACGCUGACACGUAGGUGAAGUGAUUUACUCAUGGAGCUGAAGUCAGUCGAAGAUACCAGCUGGCUGCAACUGUUUAUUAAAAACACAGCACUGUGCAAACACGAAAGUGGACGUAUACGGUGUGACGCCUGCCCGGUGCCGGAAGGUUAAUUGAUGGGGUCAGCGUAAGCGAAGCUCCUGAUCGAAGCCCCGGUAAACGGCGGCCGUAACUAUAACGGUCCUAAGGUAGCGAAAUUCCUUGUCGGGUAAGUUCCGACCUGCACGAAUGGCGUAAUGAUGGCCAGGCUGUCUCCACCCGAGACUCAGUGAAAUUGAACUCGCUGUGAAGAUGCAGUGUACCCGCGGCAAGACGGAAAGACCCCGUGAACCUUUACUAUAGCUUGACACUGAACAUUGAGCCUUGAUGUGUAGGAUAGGUGGGAGGCUUUGAAGUGUGGACGCCAGUCUGCAUGGAGCCGACCUUGAAAUACCACCCUUUAAUGUUUGAUGUUCUAACGUGGACCCGUAAUCCGGGUUGCGGACAGUGUCUGGUGGGUAGUUUGACUGGGGCGGUCUCCUCCUAAAGAGUAACGGAGGAGCACGAAGGUUGGCUAAUCCUGGUCGGACAUCAGGAGGUUAGUGCAAUGGCAUAAGCCAGCUUGACUGCGAGCGUGACGGCGCGAGCAGGUGCGAAAGCAGGUCAUAGUGAUCCGGUGGUUCUGAAUGGAAGGGCCAUCGCUCAACGGAUAAAAGGUACUCCGGGGAUAACAGGCUGAUACCGCCCAAGAGUUCAUAUCGACGGCGGUGUUUGGCACCUCGAUGUCGGCUCAUCACAUCCUGGGGCUGAAGUAGGUCCCAAGGGUAUGGCUGUUCGCCAUUUAAAGUGGUACGCGAGCUGGGUUUAGAACGUCGUGAGACAGUUCGGUCCCUAUCUGCCGUGGGCGCUGGAGAACUGAGGGGGGCUGCUCCUAGUACGAGAGGACCGGAGUGGACGCAUCACUGGUGUUCGGGUUGUCAUGCCAAUGGCACUGCCCGGUAGCUAAAUGCGGAAGAGAUAAGUGCUGAAAGCAUCUAAGCACGAAACUUGCCCCGAGAUGAGUUCUCCCUGAGACUUAGAGUCUCCUGAAGGAACGUUGAAGACGACGACGUUGAUAGGCCGGGUGUGUAAGCGCAGCGAUGCGUUGAGCUAACCGGUACUAAUGAACCGUGAGGCUUAACCUUACAACGCCGAAG